CCUCUCGGCCUCUCGGCCUCACCCUCCCGACCUGGCAGACGCUGGGACCGAACCCGCCUCCUCGCAGUGAGCGGUCCCGGAAGCCCCGGCUCAAGGGUCCAAUCACCGGAAGUGUCGCCUAGGGCGGCCGGGAGAGGGAAGAAUCGAGUAUUGAGUAUUUGUGAAUUAGAGACCUUGUGGAGCCAAAAGGAAAAGUCGUUGAGUUCUUGUUAUGGUAAGCUACAGUUUAUUCAGUCUUAUAAAAUGGACCUUCUCUCUUUCAUCACAGUAAUGCCCUUCUUGUGUGAUGUGUUAGCCCUUUUGGUUUAUCAGGUAAGGGGGGAAACAAUUUUAAUUAUUUUUUUAAUUACUAUUUUGUGUGUCAGUAGUUUGCUUGGAGGACACAGCUGCUUUCUCCCUGUAUCCUCACAUAGUCUUCAUUCUCUGGGUGUACAUCUUUGCUGACUCUGGGUCUUCUGUUAGAAGAACAUCAGUCCACUUGAAUCAGGACCAUCCAAAUGGCCUCAUUUAGCUGUAGUCAGACUUUAAAGAUCAUAUGGCCAAAUAUAUCACAUUCUGAAAUGGUAGGGAUUGGAAAUGGCACACAGUUUGGCCUAUAACAGAUAACAACCACUAAGAAGUUAUAAUAAUCCGCAAGAGAAGUAAGAGUGCUUUGAACUAGAUUGGCAGCAGCAGAUGAGAAGUGGUUGGAUAUGUGUUUAUAAAUUUUGAAAUGGAACCAACAAUUUUUUGACACCUUGAUUGUGACAUACAAAACAAAAGAGAGUGCAAGGUGACCCUUCAAGUUUUUGGAUGAGUUGAGAGUUUAUUUUCAGUGUAAGGAAGACCUUGCAGGUUCUAGGCACUCAUUUCUGUAAACUCAGCCUCAGAAAAGAAAGUAGGAAUAAUGUACUCCAGUGGUUUUUGAAUUUGAGGGUUGAUUGUGAUAGGGACAACUCAUGCUCUCUGCUCAAGACAUUAAUGAUUUUUCUGAUAAGGCAAGUCAAUGUUUACUGUGGCUCCCUCCCACCAGAUAGUCCUUUAGUGCUUUGACAACCACUGUGCAUAAAUUGACAAGGUGAACUCUGAUUAGCCACCUUGGUAAGAAAAAAAUACAUAGAGUGUAUCCGCUUAUGUAAUAAGGGUGGAUAUUUUAUUGUCUAACAAGGAUUCACUUAAUGGGUAUAUUCACACUUCCUAAGAUACUAUCUAUCAGAUGAGCAGAGAGGAUGGGCUUAGAGUGUGAGGAGUUUCUCUGUGAUGCCAGGAGACAUCUGAACAACAGCUACUGCUGUACAGAAUGUUGAGAAUACUGAUCACAGUCACUGUUUAGCAUGACUGUGUCUGUGCUAUUUAGUUCACAGUUCUUAAUCAAUUUGCCUUCCUUAUACUUGUCAGUCUUACAGCGCAUUGUUGUUUCCCUCUGUGCAACUCCACCACAAAGGUUCAUCUGUGUGCCUUGCAUUCUUGACUUACUCAGUUCUCAUAUCCUCCAAAGGUAAAUUCUAAAGCCUUUCCAAGUGACUUUUGAAAUACUGGUAUCUGUUUACAGCUAAUUUUUUUUCUAUUAGUUAAAUUUAUCAUUCACUGCAAUGAGCAAGUGCAGUGUCUAUGCCUUUCAGAAGGAAAUAAUAAAACUUGAUGAGUUAGUAAAUUGAUGAGAUAG
rnacentral:lncRNA from 1 species